rnacentral:rRNA from 1 species
AUUGAACGCUGGCGGCAGGCCUAACACAUGCAAGUCGAACGGUAGCACAGAGAGCUUGCUCUCGGGUGACGAGUGGCGGACGGGUGAGUAAUGUCUGGGAAACUGCCCGAUGGAGGGGGAUAACUACUGGAAACGGUAGCUAAUACCGCAUAACGUCGCGAGACCAAAGUGGGGGACCUUCGGGCCUCACACCAUCGGAUGUGCCCAGAUGGGAUUAGCUAGUAGGUGGGGUAAUGGCUCACCUAGGCGACGAUCCCUAGCUGGUCUGAGAGGAUGACCAGCCACACUGGAACUGAGACACGGUCCAGACUCCUACGGGAGGCAGCAGUGGGGAAUAUUGCACAAUGGGCGCAAGCCUGAUGCAGCCAUGCCGCGUGUAUGAAGAAGGCCUUCGGGUUGUAAGGUACUUUCAGCGGGGAGGAAGGCGGUGAAGUUAAUAGCUUCACCGAUUGACGUUACCCGCAGAAGAAGCACCGGCUAACUCCGUGCCAGCAGCCGCGGUAA